CAGGGGUGUGCCCAUCGCUCCCACUCUCCAGCCAAGCUAGGGAAGGGCAGGGCGGGAGAGCGGGAAGCUGGGCCUCUUGCUUUUCUUUCACAUUCCCAGCAUGGUAGAUGGGUGUGGACAUCAAUCCGAAGCCCACUUCCUUUCGAGGGAUCAACAGGAUGUCUCAUCACCGCGCAAAUGCGGCUGCCCCUGUUUAACCCCAUCACAGCCUGGUGCUUCAGGAUCCCUCAAAGUCCAGGGUCAAGGCCCAUUCUCUCCCUGGAUCCUGCCUUCCCUGCUCCACCGGCUCCCUUCUCCAGCCCAACUCCAUUCCUUUCAAAGGGUCUUGUUCCCUGGAGCCUGCCAGCACCGAUCCUGUGUUCCCUAGGAGUCCGGAAGAGAUGUGAGCUUGAAAGAUGGGCAGAAGUGACAAAGGGAGACACAAGGCAGAGAGAGGAGCAGAAGCAGGAAUACAGGACACAGCAGACCCUCGAGCUUGGCGGGACACAGGAUCCUGCUCUGCAACAUCCACUUCCUGCUCCCGAUCUCCCUGAAGGGGCUGCUGCUCGUGGGCCUGCUCUGCACUGUGCUGCAAGUGAGCAGUGCUAAGGGGGCCUCCAGGGGGAAAUAAAGUCACAGCCUGAGCCGGGGAACCGCAGCUCCCACACCAUCAACACCCUCAGAGGGGGCAAGCAGAACCUCUGGCCUCCUAUCAGGAGCAGAUAAAAGAAAGGACAUCCCCCUUGCACACUGAUUCCUUGGAGGCAUCUGCAUCUCACCUUCAUGGAUCCUCCCUCAGGCCUCCUUUCCUUGUGGCUCCAGGAUGACCCUGUCAGAGAUAAUGGACUAUCGUUCAGUUGCAGAGGCCCCAGGGCCCGUCUGGACUUUUCCAUCCCAAGAGGGGCUCAGCUCUAUCCCCUUUGUGCCUGUGACACUCUCCAUCCCCCACCCGGCUCAGAACUGGCACAGCCACCACCAACCACUCCUGAUUCAACCCAAGCUUGGCCCUUUCCACCUCUCAAACUGUGCAACAGCAAAUGCAGGAUGCUCAGCCCUCAUGUGUCAGUCCCCCCAAUUCACUUGUAAUUAAAUAACAACACACCUCUUUUUCUAAUUUUCAAAGGUAUAUCUAUUUCCCCUCAAUAAAGUUGUUAG
rnacentral:lncRNA from 1 species